ensembl:lncRNA
AUGUAUGUGGUCCAAGGGUACUUGGCAGAGAACCAGAAAUUAGAUUUUGUGCAGCCCUGGUUGCCAGGGUGCCAAGUGCAGGGGGAUUUCCUGGGCAGGCUGCAGCGAGCUGCCAGAGCCGUGGGUGGGAGCUGGAACAGGAGCUCAAUUCCCGACUUUCCUGGCCGGGGGGAUGAGUUCACUCAUGUGCUCCAAGCUGGGGAGUGUGAAGAUUUCUCUGCUGAAAAAUAUCCCUUGUGCUGCCUUGCUGGGAAGAAGAAACUGCAGAGGAGGAAGAUGGUGAUGGUGACCAGCUCCAAACCCCACUUCUGGCUCCCCCUCCCCUGAACUCCAACUCAUUCCACCAGCACGUUUUUAUUGUGUUUCAAGCAGAUAAAUAAAAUACAUCAAGACAAAUCAAUACUGCCCAGAAGCUCAAAUGCAUUUUCUUGAGCUCAUCCACUUCCCAGCACAGCCCUUUCCAGAAGGAUGAGCUUGCUGCUGGCACACUCACAGGUACCCACUCGCUGCCUGGCUGCCUGCCAGCCACACCACCAGAGCUAGACAAUGCUGCUGCUCAUAGACUGACUCCCCAUCCACGGAUAUUUAUGGAUAUAUAUGGAUAUUUUUUUCUGGGAGAUAUAAAUAUAUAUAUCCCACAAAAAGCUUAUGUGCAACAGCUGGGUUUUAUAAGGGCAACUUUAGCACUUACUGGAAGCGGAGUGUGCUGGUGAGGGGGCACAAAGCAGAGCAGUCACCUCAACCUGAGCAAUAAUUUAAUAUUUCCAGAUUGGAAAUGCCACGUUUGUCACCAAAAUGAACCAAUAUUGAUUAUGUCCCUCUCUGUCCCAGCACUGUCCAGGUUCCCUGUCCCAUACAGGGGGACACACGUGACACAGAGCACGUAGCAUUUCUAAAAUAUUUAAUGCCUGGACAAAUUCCAAAGCUCACUCUGCUGCUGCUGUUUUCCUCAUGUGCACCUUUGGAAAUUACAAUUCCUCACUCUGAGUCAUAAAGCAGCAUUUUGAGGUGGGAUUUACCAUAUUCCCCCUCCCUCUGUCAUAAGGAGAUUGGUAAUUAAGGUUGUGUUUCCAGGAAGGGCGCUGUUCAUAAUGGCACAGAGGAUUCAGAAAUCCAGGCAGGAUGGCAAACAAGCCCCAAAUCUGGAGGAAAGUGGAGUAUUUUCCCAUUAAGGAUGAGCUGAAUGCUGCAGUUCAGCUGUGCUAGUUGAAUAGAAUCAGCAGGACCAUGUGGCUGCUGUGGGAAGGGCAAAAAGAAAGUGUCAGGGUCUUAGAGAAAUGUGAUGUUCUGGCUGGUCUGUGUCACCCUGGGUGGCCUUUAAAUGGCCACAUUAAGAGGAGAAUUGUCACAGUGCUACAGUGCUCUUGAAUAUGGGUUUCAAACCUACUGAGAACAUCCAGACUGCAACACAAAUUCUGGUGGAAAUAGCUGAACUUACUAUUCCAGUCCACAAGGCCUAUGGAGGUGAGGAGCAGUGUAGGAAUUUUCUCCCAUCUCUCGGUUUUCCUCAUUUCCGCUUGUAUUUCAGGCAGAUGUUUUAAAAGGCUGUGACAUUUCCUUUAACUUAGCUGAGUUCAAGAGGUGAGGAAGGGAGAAGUCCAGAGUCUAAGAAGGAACUAAACAGACCUUGUUCCUCUGAUAAUUUUCAGAUAAAACAGCUCUGAGUUUUCCUUUAAUGGGACUGCACACAACUGCAGAAGCUUGGCACAUUUACAUCCAAAAUUAAUUAGGCUUCAUUAGCAAUAAACCUCUGGAAAUUUGCAUUUCCAGAGUCCCCUGGAUCCAUUUCAAACCAGGAUGCAGCAAGGCUUUGGAUGCAGGAGAUGUGGAUGUUCUGCACAGGGAGGAGAUUUUGCUCAAGCAACCACAUGACUUUUUUAUCACUCUGGGAAUGUGAGCACACAGAACACACCAAACCAGGAACAUCCUCGUGGAGCUUCUCACGUUGUCUUUGUGAUUUGUGUCCAUCUCACCCAGCACAGCCUGUGCUUCCAUGGGACAGGGAUUGACUCCUCCUCAUCCACUUCCCUCUGGAAGAAUCUGCUCCAACACUGUCACCUUUUUGUGUGUUAUCAUACAGGCGUGCUGUCUUUAUUUUAAAAAAGCAGGAGGUGAGACUCCCAUCAUGGGAAACAGCUCUCCCUGUUCCAAUUAAACCACUGAUGCUCAUUGACCUCCCCUGUUCCUCUCUACCAGCCCUUUCUUUAGGGCUCUUUCCAAACCUGCCUGUGUGGGUGCUGCCCUUGUUUGUGCAGCCCUUGACUCAUGGCCUUGAACUUCCCACCACCCUCAGCCCCAGGCUGGUCCCAGCAGCAGGGAUGAGACCCAUGGGUGGGGUCCUGGCUGCUGGGAUGGGGUCCCCAGCUCUGCUGUCCAUCCACCAACACCUCCAGCAGGAAUCAUUUGCUCUCUGCCAGUCUUAUUUUCAGGCAGGAGGAAUCUGAGGCUUGUGCAAAUAUUUAAACACACGUCUGUCCUGAAUUAUUCAGUGUACUCUGCCUGCUCCUGGAGUUCAUUCAAAGGGAGGGCAGUCGAUAGAGCUCUGACAUUCACCGUGGAGAGGAGGAGGCAGAGGGAGCACCAACAGCUCCCCGCCCUCUCCACCCCUCCUGCCCCACAGGCUCCAGCUCUGAGCUCCCUGCCACUGCUGUCCAGCACCUAAUCUGAGCAAAUUUGACUUAAUUUAAGGUGACCCCGUGUGGCACAGACCUGGGGACUGCUGUGUCCUGAGCUAUGGGUGAGGCUGCAGUGCCUGACUUCAGAAGACCCAAGGAAUACUGAGCAGCCUCAUAUUUUUCUGCUCUGGUUGAAAGAGGCUUUUUCCAGUGGCAGAUGCACAUCCCUGUGCAUCACACACUCCAAAGUGCAGCUCUUGGCCUCCUGAAGUCAAAGGGGAACUUGAGAUUUGAAUUCUAACUUCACCUAUGAACUGAAGCACAGCUGGGAGCCAAAGCCCUUUGGAGCUGAGGGGUCUUUCCUCUGGUUCCACAACUCCCAGAAAAGUUAGAUAUUUGCCCAACAUCAAUUAAAGACCUUGUAUAAGAGUAUAUUAAUCCACACAUGGGUCUGUGCACCUCUCCUGCUUCUGUGAAAUGUUAUGAAGAGCAAAUUAUGUACCAAACUUUGCAAUCUUGGCUUUCUCAUCUGCCCAAAUGCAGCAAUUACAGCAGUAACUUUGAUACUGCAGCACACUGGAACACUCAGCUCCUGCUGAGUACUUUUGUCCCUGAUCAGCCAUCAAAUAAAGUCACAGUUUCCCAUGGUGAAUCAAGCUAAUGACAAAAUGCAGGGUUUACAUAUAAUCCAACAACUCAGCAAGCAGCUGUUUCCAAUAUGCGAGAUACAAACAGAAAUAUCUUAUGGAGAAAGGAGAAGGGAUUGUGUCACCCUCUGUUCACACACUGCCCCUGGGCACUGCUUUUCCCAGUUCCAAGGAAAACCAGGACAGUACAGCCAGACUUCAGCAGAGUUCAUUCCACAUUGUCCAACAUCUCCAGGCUCACACUGAGGAAUUCCUUAACCAGACACAAACCCAAGUUGCUUUCUGGUACAUCUAAUAUUUGCAUGGGGACAUUGCAAGUAGGCAGCUUGGUUUGUAAAUAUGUUCAAUCACAAAGGUCUGGGUUAAAGUUCAAGUGUCUGCACUAAGCUGGAGAAAAUCUAAAUAAGCAGCAAUUAAAACAGUCUGAUUCAUACCAGGCACUGCUGGACUUCGAAAUGGCUGAGCGCUUGAAGCUGUGUUAGGAAGGAUUCUUAUUUCAGUCCAACAGCACAGAAGGUACAUUUUAGGAGGAGAAAAGGGUAUUUUGGGGAAAGGAAACAUCUUCACCUGGUUUCAAGGGCUGCAGACAGUGGAUGUCUUUAAUCCUGCUGCUGCCAGAAGGGCCAGGCUGCUCCAAGCAGCAACUCCCACCCUCAAAAGGCUGAGCUGGGGCUGGGAGCCAGGAGCAGAGUCUGCAGCCUCAGAGCCCCGAGGAGACAUCCCAGGAGCAGAAGUGCAGAAGUGGAACGUGGG